GAGAAGCCACACCUGAGACCAGCCCCUCUGUCCUCCUGCCUCUGCAUGCAGCGUCCCUGCAGGAGGCAGAAGGGGUGAAAAGUAGCCUCGAUGUGAAAGUCCUUGUGUGUCCCUGAGGGGGGAAGUAAGUCACAGUCGGGACACUGGUUCCUGUCACUGGGUGCAGCACAAAGAAGGACCCCAGGACAUGCGGUGCAGACGGGAGCACAGAGAGGAAGUACAAGUCACAAGACCGGAAUACUUCACUUGAAUAAGAACUCAGUGCAAAGAAGUUGGAUAAAUCGGAGAAAACCACACACGUGGCCAUUGAUGCCCUUGGUUGACAGAGUUGACGGGAUUUUCUCUGGCUCUCACCUUGAGGGCAUCAUCAGCAUCCUGAAGUCACUAGCGGGCCUCUGUGCAGAUGUCCUUUCGAGGGGCUUCAGGCUGUGGAAGUGACCAGUGAACACAGGACCUGCCUGGACUCCCAGCCUCACAGCACAGCACCACAGCCUGGACUGCCCCCUGCCUGAUACUUGCUUGGUUUGGAACUUUACUCCAUCAAAACAUCCAAAUAAAAAUAUGUAGACUCCCCACCCUAUCCCAUCUGCUAUAGGGUUCUAAUUCCCCCACAGACAUCCCAUCACAGUGCUUUCCCCCAUGACGGGGGACUCCUGAGCUGGACUCCAUCCCUCCCCUACCAGAAAAGCACAGGUGCUGUGGCAUGAGUUCAACCACCUGAAAUUCCCUGAUCUUCAGAGUAAUAAUUCUAAAAUAGGGCAAUAAUACCCCUGUCAGUGUUCUUGGAAGAACUUCUCAUUACUUGAGGCCCCAGAAAUGCAAACACUCCUCCGGUUUUCCAGCAUGCUGUCAACCCUGGCAUCAGAGCUCUUCCUGCCGUGGGCACUGGUAAUUGACUUACUGGAGAAAGUCAAGCUUUUAAGUCCCAGGAAUAAAGGAUUCCUAUUUC